rnacentral:rRNA from 1 species
ACGGGAGGCAGCAGUGGGGAAUAUUGGACAAUGGGGGAAACCCUGAUCCAGCGACGCCGCGUGAGUGAAGAAGUAUUUCGGUAUGUAAAGCUCUAUCAGCAGGGAAGAUAAUGACGGUACCUGACUAAGAAGCUCCGGCUAAAUACGUGCCAGCAGCCGCGGUAAUACGUAUGGAGCAAGCGUUAUCCGGAUUUACUGGGUGUAAAGGGAGCGUAGACGGCAUAGCAAGUCUGAUGUGAAAUCCCCGGGCUCAACCCGGGAACUGCAUUGGAAACUGUUAAGCUAGAGUGCAGGAGAGGUAAGUGGAAUUCCUAGUGUAGCGGUGAAAUGCGUAGAUAUUAGGAGGAACACCAGUGGCGAAGGCGGCUUACUGGACGAUUACUGACGCUGAGGCUCGAAAGCGUGGGGAGCAAACAGGAUUAGAUACCCUGGUA